rnacentral:rRNA from 1 species
UAGGGAAUCUUCGGCAAUGGACGGAAGUCUGACCGAGCAACGCCGCGUGAGUGAAGAAGGUUUUCGGAUCGUAAAGCUCUGUUGUAAGAGAAGAACGAGUGUGAGAGUGGAAAGUUCACACUGUGACGGUAUCUUACCAGAAAGGGACGGCUAACUACGUGCCAGCAGCCGCGGUAAUACGUAGGUCCCGAGCGUUGUCCGGAUUUAUUGGGCGUAAAGCGAGCGCAGGCGGUUAGAUAAGUCUGAAGUUAAAGGCUGUGGCUUAACCAUAGUACGCUUUGGAAACUGUUUAACUUGAGUGCAAGAGGGGAGAGUGGAAUUCCAUGUGUAGCGGUGAAAUGCGUAGAUAUAUGGAGGAACACCGGUGGCGAAAGCGGCUCUCUGGCUUGUAACUGACGCUGAGGCUCGAAAGCGUGGGGAGCAAACAGGAUUAGAUACCCUGGUAGUCCACGCCGUAAACGAUGAGUGCUAGGUGUUAGACCCUUUUCGGGGUUUAGUGCCGCAGCUAACGCACUAAGCACUCCGCCUGGGGAGUACGACCGCAAGGUUG